rnacentral:lncRNA from 1 species
UGAUUUUUCUUCUUCUAGUCUGCUUGCUUUGUUUAGUUUUAGUUUGUAUUUUCUCCUGUUUGUGCUUAGCAGAAGCUUUGCUCAUCCUUUUCUUUUUGGAUAUCGUGGGGAUUUUGCAAUUGUGGCCAGUAGCAUUAUUACAAUCAUCAAGUGCUUAAGCACCGUAAGUUGCUUGGUUGCUCGUACUUGUUUCUGUGCCAGUUGCUUGGUUGCUUGUUGAACGUGGCUCAGCAGACCUAGGUGCUCCCAGCGAAGUCGAGCAGGCAGUAGAUUUACAAUGCGUGCAGACCCGUGCAGUUGUCUUCGUCCUUCUUCGUUCCUGCUGUGUUUGGUUUCACGUUUCCAGGUUGAUCAAAUUUUCUGAUGAUUUUUCUAACUAUUUUUACUAGCUUUGAUUUUGUGAUUCACGCGUAGUUUGGUCGUCUGUACUCGUGUUCUGUCUCUGUUAGCUUCUUACCAUUUCGAAGAAUUUUUUUUAGAUACUCUCGUCACUAGUUGGCUUGAGUAUUUUAAUUUUGAAAGGCUUGUGACUAAAUAUUUUGAACAGUGGCUAAAUAUUUUGAAAGAAAUUUAAGUUUUCCAUUCAUCCCUCCUC